GCCGUCACCCUCGCCCUCUCCUCACGUCGCACUCGCCCCCCGGCUGCCCCCAAGAUGGCAUGACCCAUACCCGCCGCCACAAGCUGCCCCUGGCAGCCGCCUCAAGGUACCCCUGUCCACCGCUGCCACGAGCAGCCUAGUCACCGGCGGUGAUGACGGCUUGCUAGAGGAUGGGCACGUCUAUCUCCAGCCCGAGCAAGAAACCCUGCCGCCGUCCUCCGCCAUGAGGUGCCCUGUCCACCACCACAAGGCGUCCCAUUCGUUCGUGCGAGGAGGCUAGUCCCCCGGUGGCGGCGACAACAUGCAGAGGAUGGGAGCCAUCUAGAAAUAGACUUAGCUCGCUGGACGACCUCGAACUGGAGGGUCCCCUAGGACGGUGUGCAGAGGAUGGGCACACUUGCAGGCUCUAGCCCAGCAAGGACAUCCCUCCACCAUCCACCUGCGCCAAGGCUGCUGCCAUUCACGCCGAGUUUCACAGAUUGACCCGAGGCAUAGGUAUGGGCACAAUUUGCAUAUCUGUUAUGAUGUUUGGUCCAAGAGUGAGAGUACAAAGGCAUCCUUUUAUUGGUAAGUGAGCAUGAGUUCAGUCAUUUGAACUUGAAUUUAUUAUCAGUUUGAAAAUGUGGCUAAUGUAAAAUACAUAUACUUAUAUGAAAUGUACAUGUUGGAUACUGGAGAAGGCAAAUAAGUGAAGCAUGAGAAAAUGCCCUAGGAUUAAACUUCAGAGCUAGUGCAUCAAGUACCUUGGACCAAAUUGCAAGAGUAUGGAGUUGCGGUGGACAGUGGAAAACUUGACAAGAAAAACGGAGCUUUUGUUCAAAUUUUCGAUGAUUCCAAGACGAUUUUUGUCCUCAGCACCACAACAUCACUCUAUGUUUUUUUAGUGCAACAGCAAUUUUUGUUGGACAGGUUGUUGGGGUUGGAUCCGGAACAGAUGAGAGAUGAGAUAGAGUGAGAGGGAGAGCAAACCAAUUCAGCAAAUGGGCAAGUGAGCAAAUGGGCAAGUGAGCAAAUGGCCAAAAGUCUUCUCCUCCAGACUCUAGGGCACUAUUUAUAGGGAGGAGGAGAUGGUUGCUUAUAUUUAUUCCAUUGGUGGAAUUCAAAUAUUACAAGAAAAUACUUAAUAUUUACUAAUAAGUCCAUAAAA